rnacentral:rRNA from 1 species
ACGUCGUGAGACAGUUCGGUCCCUAUCCGUCGCGGGCGUAGGAAAUUUGAGAGGAGCUGUCCUUAGUACGAGAGGACCGGGAUGGACUGACCUCUGGUGUACCAGUUGUUCCGCCAGGAGCACAGCUGGGUAGCUAAGUCGGGAAUGGAUAAACGCUGAAAGCAUCUAAGCGUGAAGCCAACCUCAAGAUGAGAUUUCCCAUAGCGUAAGCUAGUAAGACCCCUUGAAGACUACAAGGUUGAUAGGUCAGAGGUGUAAGUGCGGUAACGUAUUUAGCUGACUGAUACUAAUAGGUCGAGGGCUUGACCAA